rnacentral:rRNA from 1 species
CCCUUAGACGUUCUGGGCCGCACGCGCGCUACACUGACCAGUGCAACAAGCAUCCGUCCUUGGCCGACAGGCCCGGGCAAUCUUUGAACGCUGGUCGUGAUGGGGAUAGACUUUUGCAAUUUUUGGUCUUCAACGAGGAAUUCCUAGUAAACGCAAGUCAUCAACUUGCAUUGAUUACGUCCCUGCCCUUUGUACCCACCGCCCGUCGCACCUACCGAUUGAAUGGUCCGGUGAAGCCUCCGGAUUGGCGCGCACCUCGGUGCCGCCGAGAAGUUGGCUAAACCUUACCAUUUAGAGGAAGGUGAANUCGUAACA